GACGAACUGUGCAAACGUUAUUCGGAAUCACUGGGCUUGAAGAGUGCGUAGGCGGUUUCGUAAGUAGGGUGUGAAAGCCCCAGCUCAACUGGGGAACUGCGUCCUAAACUGCGAGGCUGGAGUGAGGUAGGGGUGUGUGGAACUUCCGGUGGAGCGGUGAAAUGUGUUGAUAUCGGAAGGAACGCCGGUGGCGAAAGCGACACACUGGGCCUUGUCUGACGCUGAGGCACGAAAGCCAGGGAGCAAACGGG
rnacentral:rRNA from 1 species